GGGUGGUAAUGCCGGAUGUUCCACAUGAGCGCAUGCGAGUGUGGGAAAGGCUUUUUGCGGCAUGGGAUGGGGUCGCGUCCUAUCAGCUUGUUGGUGGGGUAACGGCCUACCAAGGCGUUGACGGGUAGCCGGCCUGAGAGGGCGACCGGCCACAUUGGGACUGAGAUACGGCCCAGACUCCUACGGGAGGCAGCAGUGGGGAAUAUUGCACAAUGGGCGCAAGCCUGAUGCAGCGACGCCGCGUGCGGGAUGGAGGCCUUCGGGUUGUAAACCGCUUUUGUUCAAGGGCAAGGCAGGCUUUCGGGCCUGUUGAGUGGAUUGUUCGAAUAAGCACCGGCUAACUACGUGCCAGCAGCCGCGGUAAUACGUAGGGUGCAAGCGUUAUCCGGAUUUAUUGGGCGUAAAGGGCUCGUAGGCGGUUCGUCGCGUCCGGUGUGAAAGUCCAUCGCUUAACGGUGGAUCCGCGCCGGGUACGGGCGGGCUUGAGUGCGGUAGGGGAGACUGGAAUUCCCGGUGUAACGGUGGAAUGUGUAGAUAU
rnacentral:rRNA from 1 species